UAGUGCCUACGGGGCGCAGCAGUAGGGAAUCUUCCACAAUGGACGAAAGUCUGAUGGAGCAACGCCGCGUGAGUGAAGAGGGGUUUCGGCUCGUAAAGCUCUGUUGGUAGUGAAGAAAGAUAGAGGUAGUAACUGGCCUUUAUUUGACGGUAAUUACUUAGAAAGUCACGGCUAACUACGUGCCAGCAGCCGCGGUAAUACGUAGGUGGCAAGCGUUGUCCGGAUUUAUUGGGCGUAAAGA
rnacentral:rRNA from 1 species